rnacentral:rRNA from 1 species
AUUGAACGCUGGCGGCAGGCCUAACACAUGCAAGUCGGGCGAGUGGCGGACGGGUGAGUAAUGUAUGGGGAUCUGCCUGAUGGCGGGGGAUAACUACUGGAAACGGUAGCUAAUACCGCAUACCAUCAGAUGUACCCAUAUGGGAUUAGCUAGUAGGUAAGGUAACGGCUCACCUAGGCGACGAUCCCUAGCUGGUCUGAGAGGAUGAUCAGCCACACUGGGACUGAGACACGGCCCAGACUCCUACGGGAGGAAGCAGUGGGGAAUAUUGCACAAUGGGCGCAAGCCGGAUGCAGCCAUGCCGCGUGUAUGAAGAAGGCCUUCGGGUUGUAAAGGACUUUCAGUCGGGAGGCGUUACCGGCAGAAGAAGCACCGGCUAACUCCGUGCCAGCAGCCGCGGUAAUUC